rnacentral:rRNA from 1 species
ACUCAAAGGAAUAGACGGGGACCCGCACAAGCGGUGGAGUAUGUGGUUUAAUUCGACGCAACACGAAAAACCUUACCUGGGCUCGAACGACUGGAAGUAGGAUUGAUGAAAGUCGAGACGACCUGUAAAGUCAGGAACCAGCCGAGGUGCUGCAUGGUUGUCGUCAGCUCGUGUCGUGAGAUGUUGGGUUAAGUCCCGCAACGAGCGCAACCCUCAUCCUCUGUUGCCACCCCGCAAGGGAGCACUCUGAGGAAACUGCCCACGAUGAGUGGGAGGAAGGUGAGGACGACGUCAAAUCCCCAUGGCCCUUAUGUCCAGGGCAACACACGUACUACAAUGGCCAGCACAGAGGGACGCAAUACAGCAAUGUGGAGCAAAUCCUAAAAACUGGCCCCAGUUCAGAUUGUGGGCUGCAACUCGUCCACAUGAAGGUGGAAUCGCUAGUAAUCGCGAAUCAGAAGGUCGCGGUGAAUACGUUCCCGGGUCUUGUACACACCGCCCGU